GCUCGCGUGGGGUAGCUUGGAUAUCCUCUGAGAUUGCGGAUCUUAUGACCCGGGUUCGAAUCCCGGCGCGAGCGCCA
rnacentral:tRNA from 1 species